rnacentral:rRNA from 1 species
AGCGAACGCUGGCGGCAGGCCUAACACAUGCAAGUCGAGCGCCGUAGCAAUACGGAGCGGCAGACGGGUGAGUAACGCGUGGGAACGUGCCCUUUAGUUCGGAAUAACCCAGGGAAACUUGGGCUAAUACCGGAUAAGCCCUUCGGGGGAAAGAUUUAUCGCUAAAGGAUCGGCCCGCGUAAGAUUAGCUAGUUGGUGAGGUAACGGCUCACCAAGGCUAUGAUCUUUAGCUGUUCUGAGAGGAAGAUCAGCCACACUGGGACUGAGACACGGCACAGACUCCUACGGGAGGCAGCAGUGGGGAAUAUUGGACAAUGGGCGCAAGCCUGAUCCAGCCAUGCCGCGUGAGUGAUGAAGGCCUUAGGGUUGUAAAGCUCUUUUACCAGGGAAGAUAAUGACGGUACCUGGAGAAUAAGCCCCGGCUAACUUCGUGCCAGCCGCCGCAGUAAAAC